rfam:Callithrix jacchus chromosome 7, whole genome shotgun sequence
GGCUAGUCUGAAGGUAGCAAGUUGUCUCCAUUGACUGCUCACAGUUACAAAUAGAACUCCUUGAUCUACUCUUUCCCUCCUUCUCUUGACUAGUCUUAA